rnacentral:rRNA from 1 species
CAGCAGCCACGGGAAUACGAAGGGUGCAAGCGUUAAUCGGAAUUACUGGGCGUAAAGCGCGCGUAGGUGGUUUGGUAAGAUGGAUGUGAAAUCCCCGGGCUCAACCUGGGAACUGCAUCCAUAACUGCCUGACUAGAGUACGGUAGAGGGUGGUGGAAUUUCCUGUGUAGCGGUGAAAUGCGUAGAUAUAGGAAGGAACACCAGUGGCGAAGGCGACCACCUGGACUGAUACUGACACUGAGGUGCGAAAGCGUGGGGAGCAAACAGGAUUAGAGACCCCGGUAGUCCCUGUCUCUUAUAC